UUUUUUUUUUUUUUUUUUUUUUUUUUUUUUUUUUUUUUGUUGCCU
rnacentral:ribozyme from 1 species